rnacentral:piRNA from 1 species
CUUCAUUUGAAACGAAAGCAUUGCCU